rnacentral:rRNA from 1 species
CCCAGUGACUAACAGUUAAACGGCCGCGGUACCCUAACCGUGCAAAGGUAGCAUAAUCACUUGUUCUUUAAAUCAGGACUAGUAUGAAUGGCCCAACGAGGGCUAUACUGUCUCCCCCCUCUAAUCAGUGAAACUGAUCUCCUCGUGAAAAAGCGAGGAUAUAACUAUAAGACGAGAAGACCCCAUGGAACUUAAAACUAGUACCACCCCUCCACCCCAGGGCCACUCGACUACUAGUCUUUCGGCUGGGGCGACCCCGGAGAAAAAUAGAACCCCCGAGAUGAAAGGGAAUACCCUAAUCCCAGAACCACUAUUCAAAGAAUCCAUAAAUGACAUCAU